GGGGUUGUGGCUCAGUUGGUAGAGUGCUUGCCUAGUAUGUAUGAGGCACUGGGUUUGAUUCUCAGCACCACA
rnacentral:tRNA from 1 species